rnacentral:rRNA from 1 species
CGGGACGGGUGAGUAACACGUGGGUAACCUGCCCGGAAGUGGGGAAUACCUCGGGGAAACUCGAGCUAAUACCGCAUGACAUCUUUGGGACGAAAGUCCUGACGAUCAAAGCGGGGUCGCAAGAUCUCGCGCUACCGGAUGGGCCCGCGCCCGAUUAGCUAGUUGGUGAGGUAACGGCUCACCAAGGCUUCGAUCGGUAACCGGCCUGAGAGGGCGAUCGGUCACACCGGAACUGAGACACGGUCCGG